rnacentral:rRNA from 1 species
CAGUCGAGGGGUAUAGUUCUUCGGAACUAGAGACCGGCGCACGGGUGCGUAACGCGUAUGCAAUCUACCUUUUACAGAGGGAUAGCCCAGAGAAAUUUGGAUUAAUACCUCAUAGUAUAUAGCCCUGGCAUCAGGAUUAUAUUAAAGUCACAACGGUAAAAGAUGAGCAUGCGUCCCAUUAGCUAGUUGGUAAGGUAACGGCUUACCAAGGCUACGAUGGGUAGGGGUCCUGAGAGGGAGAUCCCCCACACUGGUACUGAGACACGGACCAGACUCCUACGGGAGGCAGCAGUGAGGAAUAUUGGACAAUGGGCGCAAGCCUGAUCCAGCCAUGCCGCGUGCAGGAUGACGGUCCUAUGGAUUGUAAACUGCUUUUAUACGAGAAGAAACACUCCUUCGUGAAGGAGCUUGACGGUAUCGUAAGAAUAAGGAUCGGCUAACUCCGUGCCAGCAGCCGCGGUAAUACGGAGGAUCCAAGCGUUAUCCGGAAUCAUUGGGUUUAAAGGGUCCGUAGGCGGUUUAAUAAGUCAGUGGUGAAAGCCCAUCGCUCAACGGUGGAACGGCCAUUGAUACUGUUAGACUUGAAUUAUUAGGAAGUAACUAGAAUAUGUAGUGUAGCGGUGAAAUGCUUAGAGAUUACAUGGAAUACCAAUUGCGAAGGCAGGUUACUACUAAUUGAUUGACGCUGAUGGACGAAAGCGUGGGUAGCGAACAGGAUUAGAUACCCUGGUAGUCCACGCCGUAAACGAUGGAUACUAGCUGUUGGAAGCAAUUUCAGUGGCUAAGCGAAAGUGAUAAGUAUCCCACCUGGGGAGUACGUUCGCAAGAAUGAAACUCAAAGGAAUUGACGGGGGCCCGCACAAGCGGUGGAGCAUGUGGUUUAAUUCGAUGAUACGCG